rnacentral:rRNA from 1 species
ACGGGUGAGUAACGCGUGAGCAAUCUACCUUAGUUACUGGGAUAGCCCGAGGAAACUCGGAUUAAUACCAGAUAUUCUUAUUUUUUCACAUGAAGUUUUAAGGAAAGGUCAGCCGAACUAAGAUGAGCUCGCGUUCUAUCAGCUAGUUGGUGGGGUAAAAGCCUACCAAGGCUACGACGGAUAGCUGGUCUGAGAGGACGAUCAGCCACACUGGGACUGAGACACGGCCCAGACUCCUACGGGAGGCUGCAGCAGGGAAUAUUGUGCAAUGAGCGAAAGCUUGACGCAGCGACACCGCGUGUGGGAUGACGGUUCUAGGAUUGUAAACCACUUUCAGGAGGGAAGAAAAUGACGGUACCUCCACAAGAAGACCCGGCCAACUAUGUGCCAGCAGCCGCGGUAAUACAUAGGGGUCAAGCGUUGUCCGGAUUUAUUGGGCGUAAAGAGCUCGUAGGCGGUUCAACAAGUCGGUCGUAAAAGUUUAGGGCUCAACCCUAAAAUGUCGAUCGAUACUGUUGUGACUAGGAUACGGUAGAGGUGAAUGGAAUUCCGAGUGUAGCGGUGAAAUGCGUAGAUAUUCGGAGGAACACCAAUUGCGAAGGCAGUUCACUGGACCGUGAUCGACGCUGAGGAGCGAAAGCUAGGGGAGCAAACAGGAUUAGAGACCCUGG